UUAAACUCAAAAGUGCUAGCUUAAAUGUUGGGGGAACGUAAUUUUUUCAAUUGAACCAAAAGUAAUAUGUUGAUAAAAUUAAAAAAAAAAAGAAAGGAAGAAAGAAAAGAAUGCUUUUGACUAUUUAUUCAAACAAAGACGUAGUGACCAACCAAAUUUGCCGCCAAAACUAUACUAGACAAAAAUGCCUUCUUCUCGGGACUCGGUAUCUUUUACACGUUUCCUGUGUUUCGAGAACCUGAUCAUAAAUGCAAGCCAAGCACCUUUAUGCCUUUCAAUCCUUACCAUAAACCUCAUUUUGCACAACAAUCCCACACCCUCACAACCAUUCGCAUACCUCUCAUCUCUCCAUUUCGCUAACCACUCGCAGGAGAAACCGCAAACCAUCGGAGCUCAACCGGAGUUCACCGGAGCCGCCUGAAGUUCCCGACGGUAUCACGACGUCCUCUGUUCGGUAACGAAGAAGAUGAUGACUGUUAUCGAUCCAUUUCUAUUCGGAAAGUUUAACAACUUCGUUUUUCUAUAAGAAACAAAGGUUGUUUUCUGAAGCUUUAAUAAAUAUCCUUUUCUCCACUCUUAAAGAAGUCCGCGGAGUGAGCCAAGCCGCUGAAAACAAGGACACCUCUCACCGGAGAAAAGAUUGAGACGUUGCCGGAGGAUCGGAGGCGACGAAUGGAACGCCACUUCGUCUCGAACUCGAAGACGACACCGGAGCUCGGAGCCGACAUCACGACGGGACUCCACAGUUUUCGGUUAAACGUUUCAUCCUUUCGGAAUCUUUUUUCCCUCCAAUCCUUACUUGUGCGUCAUCUCAAGGAAUCUCCAUACGCAACCAUUGUUAAUGAUUGAUGACACUAUGAAAAUGGAUAUCGAAGAUGCCUAGAUACUCAUUUAGACGCCUUAAGUUUAAAUCGUUGUAUCAAUUUUGUUAUGUUAUGUUGUCACUUGAAUUUCCUUGUAUGUUUUGACAAUUUAUUUAUGAAAUGAA